rnacentral:rRNA from 1 species
AUACGGAGGAUCCGAGCGUUAUCCGGAUUUAUUGGGUUUAAAGGGUGCGCAGGCGGGAGAUUAAGUCGGCGGUGAAAUUUUGCAGCUCAACUGUAAAAGUGCCUUCGAAACUGGUUUUCUUGAGUGUAGAUGAAGUAGGCGGAAUUUGUGGUGUAGCGGUGAAAUGCAUAGAUAUCACGAGGAACUCCGAUUGCGCAGGCAGCUUACUAAACUACGACUGACGCUCGGUCACGAAGGCGUGGGGAUCAAACAGGAUUAGAUACACUGGUAGUCCACGCAGUAAACGAUGAUUACUAGCUUUUUGCGAUACAAUGUAAGCGGCUGAGCGAAAGCGUUAAGUAAUCCACCUGGGGAGUACGUUCGCAAGAAUGAAACUCAAAGGAAUUGACGGGG